rnacentral:lncRNA from 1 species
GCAGGCUUAGUUGUUCUGACAGGUCCACUCAGAGAGGUUGUCUCUCAUAGGCUGCUGCAGGUCAUGAAAGAUGUGGGGCAGAUUGUGAAAAAAGCAAAAAAUUGGAGCCACACACCUGGACGUGAAGCUCCGUUACCAACUUGCUGUUUAAUUAUCCUGCAUAAUUUGCUUAACUUCUCUGAGUCUCUGUUUUCUCAUCUAUAUACUGGGCAUAAUAGUACCUUAUUUCAGGGCUGUGUUGAAUUUUAGUGAUCACACGGUUAAAAUUUCUGACACCUAAAAACUGAUUAGGAAGUGUUAUUUAAUGGCCCAGGCCAAUCAAUCAUCUCUUUGGGGAGCAGGGGUAUUUUUCUUCCCUCUUUGAGGCUGGUUACACGAGUUCACUUCUGACAGCAGUUUGGACCACAGCCUUUACUGCAAAGCAGUGAAGAAGAGCAGUGGUCCUCAAACUCUGCUGCACGACAGCCCAUCUGAUGAAUACCCCCUGGGUCGAACCUGCGGAUCAACAGAAUUAGGUUUACAAACACCAGAGGAACAGUGGGUGUCUCAUCACACGCAGACAGACAAGAUCACGAUAGGAUCUGGGGAUGGGUGGAGUGUAAGUAGAAUGUUAAUAAAGCAGUGUUGGGACAGGCGUAAAGGAAAGCAGGCUGUGUAUAAAGGGGCUGACGGCAAGCCUGGACUGUGAGGUGGACCCAGGUCCUGAUUCCUUGGAAAACUACAAAGUUAAGAAAAACGCAGAAUGUGGUACCUGAGAACCCCUAUCAGAAGUUCUAGGGGCCAGCCCGGUGGCCGAGUGGUUAAGUUUGCACACUCCGCUGCGGUGGCCCAGGGUUUCGCUGGUUCGGAUCCUGGGUGUGGACGUGGCACUGCUCAUCAGGUCACGCUGAGGCGGCGUCCCACACAGCACAACUAGAAGGACCUGCAACUCGAAUAAACAACUAUAUACUGGGGGGCUUUGGGGAGAAGAGGAGGGAAAAAAAAGAAGAUUGGCAACAGAUGCUAGCGCAGGUGCCAAUCUUUGAAAAAAAGUUCUGCAUCAGGGUGGAAAUUGAAACUGCUUCUGUGUGUCAGUGACUCACGCGGCUCAGGUCUUCCAGGCAAGAGUGGAAUGUUCCGUUCUUACUGAGAGGCUUGCAAACUGCAAAGUUUUGACAGUCCAUGAUUUCAGUCACAGUUUUGCAGUGAUUUUUGUUCAGGUGGCAGGCGUGACAAAGCAAGGCUGGGUAUGUCAUUGGAAAGAAAGCAGGAGUCACUCAAAGGAGUGAUUAUGACACUUUUGAGCUGUAGCGGUGACCUUGGGAGAAAGACUGCUCCCUGUUAACUUGCAGCUGGCUUCAGUGUCGGCUCCAGGAGUCUCACAAACGGCAGGGCACAGGGCUGACUUUCACUCAGUCUGGACAGGUUUUUUCACUGGUUCUUUCACCAGCAAUAGAAGCCCGAGCUCUGCUCAACUAUCCCCACAGAUCUUCCUGUGUUUGGGAUUCUCUGGGCCAGCCCAGAAGCUCCUACCAUAUCCAGGAAAGUGUGGGGAUGGGGUUUGGCCACAGGACUCUUCUCUAUCUUCCUGCAAAGCUGUUUGAGUGACAAGUUUGCAAGCAAAGAGAAAGCAGCCAUCACGUAAGAAGACUGACAGCCCUGAAACUGCCAUGCUAGAGAGGCCAUGUAGGCCCUCUGGUUGAUGGUCUCAAAUGAGCCUGCUUCCAGCCAUCCCCACCAUGGCGCCAGACAUCAUCUCUGCCUUUGCCUCGACAAUAUGCCCUGGCUAGGCUGCCAGAGGAUAAGACACAUGGAGCCGACCUGAGUUGCCCCAGUUGUGCUGGCCAAGGCCAUCCUAGAUCAACUGGAUUUGUCAACUGUCAGGCAUAUGAAGGAGCCCAGUCAAGACCAGAACUGUCCAGCCACUCUGGUGUAAAUCACUAAUCCAGACCUGUGAGCAAAAUAAAUGCUUAUUAUUUUAAGCCACUGAGUUUGGGGAUGGUUCAUUACAUGUCAUUGUAGUGCCAACAGUUAGCAGAAGAUCAAACACUACCACUUAUUUCCCCACUGAGAGUCCUGGUUCAAGUCUAACUCCCAUCUCCAUCUGAGGAAAUAGGAGCCAGUUGCAGAAUAAGCAGCAGAGGAUUCCCAGCCGAGUUCUCUUAAGGUGUAACUGUAUUCAAUCCAAACUUAUGGAGCAUCCGUUAGGUGAAAGACACCACAGAGAAUUAAAAAGGAAUAUGGGAUCCAAACCGGCAAACCCUGGGACGCCGAAGCAGAACGUGUGAACUUAACCGCUGCACCACGUGCAGACAUGGCACCGCUCAUCAAGCCAUGCUGAGGCAGGCGUCCACAUAUAAAGUAGAG